AGUGAACGCUGGCGGUAGGCCUAACACAUGCGAGUCGAACGGCAGCACAGUAAGAGCUUGCUCUUACGGGUGGCGAGUGGCGGACGGGUGAGGAAUACAUCGGAAUCUACUUUUUCGUGGGGGAUAACGUAGGGAAACUUACGCUAAUACCGCAUACGACCUACGGGUGAAAGCAGGGGAUCUUCGGACCUUGCGCGAUUGAAUGAGCCGAUGUCGGAUUAGCUAGUUGGCGGGGUAAAGGCCCACCAAGGCGACGAUCCGUAGCUGGUCUGAGAGGAUGAUCAGCCACACUGGAACUGAGACACGGUCCAGACUCCUACGGGAGGCAGCAGUGGGGAAUAUUGGACAAUGGGCGCAAGCCUGAUCCAGCCAUACCGCGUGGGUGAAGAAGGCCUUCGGGUUGUAAAGCCCUUUUGUUGGGAAAGAAAAGCAGCAGGUUAAUACCCCGCAGUUCUGACGGUACCCAAAGAAUAAGCACCGGCUAACUUCGUG
rnacentral:rRNA from 1 species